UCUCCGUUGGUGAACCAGCGGAGGGAUCAUUAUCGAGUUUAUAACUCCCAAACCCUAUGUGAACUUGCCACUUGUUGCUUCGGCGCGCGCUUCGGCGCCGCCGAGGACACUUAAACUCUUUGUUUUUAUAAGCAUUUCUGAGUGGCCGAAAGGCAAAAUACAAAUGAAUCAAAACUUUCAACAACGGAUCUCUUGGUUCUG
rnacentral:misc_RNA from 1 species